rnacentral:rRNA from 1 species
GCAAAUCAAGAUAAAUUGAUUAAUAUUUAUUUAUUUAUUUAUUUUUUAAAUAAUUUAAUUUAUUAAAAAUAAUUAUUUAUUUUGUUGUUUUAGUAAAGUUUAUUGAAAAAAUAAUUAUUAUUAUAGUGUAUUAUGUAAUGUGAAUGAUUAUUGAAAUAUGUUGAAAAAUUUUUAUUUUAUAAGAAGAUUUAUUUUAUUGUACCUUGUGUAUCAGGGUGUAUUAAAUAAGAAAUAAUUAUUUAUUGUUCUCGAUUUUAUAAGAGUUAAUUAUUUAUUAAAGUUAACGUGUUAUAGUUAUUUUAUAUAAAUAAUUGGAAAUUAUAUGUUAUUCGUUUAUAAAGGUAUCUAGUUUUUUUAGAAAUGAAUUUAAUUCAUAAAUUUUUAAGUUUUAGUUUUAUUUAAUAAGUUAAAACUUUAUAAAUUUAAAUAUUUUAAGGGAUAAGCUUUAGAAUAAAUUAUUAAAAAUAUAUGUAUAUAUUUAGUUAAAUGUAUGUUUAGAAUUAGCAAUCAUUUAUAAAUUUGUUAUAAAUUAUUAAUUUUAUAAUUUAUUAUUUAUUGGUAUUUUAAUUAUUUAUAAAAAUGAGAUUUUUAAUUUUUUAUAAUGUGUAGUAAUGAUAUAAUUAGUAUAUUUUAUGUUUUGGUAAUUUUUAUUGGAAAGUUUAUAUAAAGAACUCGGCAAAUUUAAUAUUCGCCUGUUUAACAAAAACAUGUCCUUUUGAGUUAUUUUUAAAGUCUAACCUGCCCAAUGAAUUUAUAUUUUAAUGGCCGCAGUAAUUUAACUGUGCAAAGGUAGCAUAAUCAGUAGUCUUUUAAUUGAAGGCUGGAAUGAACGGUUGGACGAAGUAUUAACUGUUUCAUAUGAAUUUAUUAUAGAAUUUUAUUUUUUAGUAAAAAAGCUAAAAUUUUGUUAAAAGACGAGAAGACCCUAUAAAUCUUUAUAAUUAUUAAUUAUCUAAUUUUUUUGAUGAGGUUUAUUUUUUUAUUAAUAAUUAUUUUAUUGGGGUGAUAUUAAAAUUUAAUUAACUUUUAAUUGUUGUAAUUCAUUUAUUUAUGUUUUAAUGAUCCAUUAAUAGUGAUUAAAAGAGUAAGUUACUUUAGGGAUAACAGCGUAAUUUUUUUGGAGAGUUCUUAUCGAUAAUAAAGUUUGCGACCUCGAUGUUGGAUUAAGAAAAAUUUUAGGUGUAGUAGCUUAAUUAUUAAGUCUGUUCGACUUU